GAAUAUAUGCAUACAUUGCUGUUUUGUUCAUAUGAACAUUUGAUCAUUAUUUCGUGCUUUGACUUUUAUUAUUUGCAAAUAGAGUUGCUUUUAAGGGUUUGGUCAUCUUACCGGCUUUAAAGUAUCUUGUGCUUUUUGUCCUAGAGAUGUAUAUGUUUGAGUUUGUGAACUGUCAAAUGUCAUUGACCUGCAUUUGGUUUUGGUAUAUUUUGAAAGCAGAAGCCAGUAAAUGGAUGUAAACUGAAC
rnacentral:lncRNA from 1 species